rnacentral:rRNA from 1 species
CUAGUGAUUAGAGUUUGAUCCUGGCUCAGGAUGAACGCUAGCGGCAGGCUUAACACAUGCAAGUCGAGGGGUAUAAGUCUUCGGAUUUAGAGACCGGCGCACGGGUGCGUAACGCGUAUGCAAUCUACCUUUCACAGAGGGAUAGCCCAGAGAAAUUUGGAUUAAUACCUCAUAGUAUAGUACCUUGGCAUCAAGGAACUAUUAAAGAUUUAUCGGUGAAAGAUGAGCAUGCGUCCCAUUAGCUAGAUGGUAAGGUAACGGCUUACCAUGGCUACGAUGGGUAGGGGUCCUGAGAGGGAGAUCCCCCACACUGGUACUGAGACACGGACCAGACUCCUACGGGAGGCAGCAGUGAGGAAUAUUGGUCAAUGGGCGCAAGCCUGAUCCAGCCAUGCCGCGUGCAGGAAGAAGGUCCUAUGGAUUGUAAACUGCUUUUAUACAGGAAGAAACACCUCUACGUGUAGAGACUUGACGGUACUGUAUGAAUAAGGACCGGCUAACUCCGUGCCAGCAGCCGCGGUAAUACGGAGGGUCCAAGCGUUAUCCGGAAUCAUUGGGUUUAAAGGGUCCGUAGGCGGCCAAAUAAGUCAGUGGUGAAAGCCCAUCGCUCAACGAUGGAACGGCCAUUGAUACUGUUUGGCUUGAAUUAUUAGGAAGUAACUAGAAUAUGUAGUGUAGCGGUGAAAUGCUUAGAGAUUACAUGGAAUACCAAUUGCGAAGGCAGGUUACUACUAAUAUAUUGACGCUGAUGGACGAAAGCGUGGGGAGCGAACAGGAUUAGAUACCCUGGUAGUCCACGCCGUAAACGAUGGAUACUAGCUGUUCGGAGCAAUCUGAGUGGCUAAGCGAAAGUGACAAGUAUCCCACCUGGGGAGUACGCACGCAAGUGUGAAACUCAAAGGAAUUGACGGGGGCCCGCACAAGCGGUGGAGCAUGUGGUUUAAUUCGAUGAUACGCGAGGAACCUUACCAAGGCUUAAAUGUAGUUUGACCGAUUUGGAAACAGAUCUUUCGCAAGACAAAUUACAAGGUGCUGCAUGGUUGUCGUCAGCUCGUGCCGUGAGGUGUCAGGUUAAGUCCUAUAACGAGCGCAACCCCUGUUGUUAGUUGCCAGCGAGUCAUGUCGGGAACUCUAACAAGACUGCCAGUGUAAACUGUGAGGAAGGUGGGGAUGACGUCAAAUCAUCACGGCCCUUACGCCUUGGGCCACACACGUGCUACAAUGGACGGUACAGAGAGCAGCCACUGGGUGACCAGGAGCGAAUCUACAAAACCCGUUCUCAGUUUCGGAUCGGAGUCUGCAACUCGACUCCGUGAAGCUGGGAAUCGCUAGUAAUCGGAUAUCAGCCAUGAUCCGGUGAAUACGUUCCCGGGCCUUUGUACACACCGCCCGUCAAGCCAUGGAAGCUGGGGGUGCCUGA